rnacentral:rRNA from 1 species
GGGUUGUGAGGUUAAGCGACUAAGCGUACACGGUGGAUGCCCUGGCAGUCAGAGGCGAUGAAGGGCGUGCUAAUCUGCGAUAAGCGCCGGUAAGGUGAUAUGAACCGUUAUAACCGGCGAUACCCGAAUGGGGAAACCCAGUGUGAUUCGUCACACUAUCAUUAACUGAAUCCAUAGGUUAAUGAGGCGAACCGGGGGAACUGAAACAUCUAAGUACCCCGAGGAAAAGAAAUCAACCGAGAUUCCCCCAGUAGCGGCGAGCGAACGGGGAGGAGCCCAGAGCCUGAAUCAGCAUGUGUGUUAGUGGAAGCGUCUGGAAAGGCGCGCGAUACAGGGUGACAGCCCCGUACACAAAAGCGCAUGUGCUGUGAGCUCGAUGAGUAGGGCGGGACACGUGGUAUCCUGUCUGAAUAUGGGGGGACCAUCCUCCAAGGCUAAAUACUCCUGACUGACCGAUAGUGAACCAGUACCGUGAGGGAAAGGCGAAAAGAACCCCGGCGAGGGGAGUGAAAAAGAACCUGAAACCGUGUACGUACAAGCAGUGGGAGCCCCACCACUAAGCCAGUGGUGAACUCCACAUCCGCAUCCUUUGCUGAGGAUACGGUUAACGGAGCGAAAGCGACGUUCAACCGCAAAACAAGCAGAGGGGGC